CAUUUUAACGAAUGCGAAUUGACCUUUCGUUGAAUCCGGAAUCACAUUCCCUCACAAAAUUGGGAUGAAGAAUUCGAGAGACGCUAAGAGAGCGGGAUUCAAGAUCGGAAACCCAGGCGAAACCUCCCAAGCUCACAUCUGAUUUCUCCCAAUCGGAGCAGUACUUCGCUCCUUGGAGGGUUUUGGUGAGAUCCGGAGCCUGGAGCAAUGACGUGCACGGAGGAGGAGGAGGAGGAGUUGGAGGACCCUCUGUCGUCGUCGGACUCUUUCGCCUAAUCGAUCCAAUGCAGGCAGCAAAGGAUGGGCCCAAAAGUAAAACAUAUUGAAGAAACCCAAAAGAUGGAUAAAGAAUCUAGGGACAUGUUGAGCCUGUUGAAACAAGUGGUGAAUCAAAGACAAACUGAAGCUUCAAGAAGUUGGUUUCAUUAAAAGAAGCAGAAAGAAGCCGAUUCAGGCCUCCAUUGGCUGUCUCCGAAGCUUCACAAUUAAGUCCAUUGUUAUUGUGCCAUCACUAAGUUACUUCCAGUCUUCUAUUCGCCAGAGUUCAUUCCAAGGACUUAGUUACCAUUGGCUUCUCCAAUCUUUAUAGUUUUUGACUCCAGUGUAAUCUUUUACAGGUUGCGUGAUUCGAGCCAGGAAAAGCGGAGAUGAUGAAGCUUUUGAGCCAACUUGGGACUGGAUCUCUCUUCUUUCGACCUGAAUUAUUCGGUGCCAGUAAUUGCAGUAAAGUAUGAAGGAAAGCAGCCGUGCCAGAAUAUUAGUCCCCCCUGCAAAACGACAGAAGCUAGAGAAGAAAAAGACGGAGGAGGAGGCUCGGCGUGCAGACGGGGACAGGCCCACUCCCUGUCGUAACAGUGGUAGUCGGCUACACAUCUUCUUCUCACAGAUGUACAUCGUCAUCAUCAGGAGAAGAGAGGCAUUUAAUACCGGAGGAGAGGGAUCAUAUAUUAUUAAGAGGAACCUAUCAUUGGCACCAGAGUAGUAAUAUUAUAUUUACCGAGCAAAAAAGUCAAGGGGAGGAGGUAAUAAACCCCUCACUAAGCAUUCACCUUUUCUUUUCUUCUUUUCAACCAAGAUGUGGUCAAUCAUGCAAGUGUGAUGGUGAGGAGGGUGCAGAGCUUAAAGGUGGUGGAAAUGCCUGCACCAGCAGAAGCAGAAGAGUGUGUGUGUGUGUGUGUGUGUGGUUGAUCCAUCCUUCACUCAGAGCCAUCACAUCUCCAGAGUCAAAAAAGGAAGGAAGGAAGGAAGGAAGAGAGCGUGGCAUUGUGAAAGCAGUAAAGAAAUGAAGCACUAGAGAAGAUGCCGCAAGAGUGGGAGUAAGCCAUUAAUAGCAGGGAAGUGGAGCCGCACGAAAUGCUCAUCAAUUAACAUCCAGCUUCAUCCUCUCGCAUCCUCAACCAGACGCACGGCAUUGUUAGAGGCUUCUCCAUGGCAGACCACCGGAGCAAUCGAACUGGAGUUCUCUCCACCACAUGCCUCCAUAAAUCCUACCUCGAGACGUCGUCAUCCUCAAACACAAGUAGUUCCUCAUAAAAUGACACUGAGGAAUAGAAGCCAUCAAAUGGAAUUAGUAGCAGAUUGAAAUGAUCCAAACAGAGUGAGCCGAAGCAGCAGCUUCGACAAACACAUCCAGAAGCUUUAACCCUACACAUGGCUGCAAAACCUGACUCCUGGAAAUUGAAGACAAGUUGACCAAGCAAGUCUCUCACUCAAACACACACAUCAAACGAGAACUCAUCAUCUGUGCAGCAAUGGCUGCCUGAACUCACCUGUGAACUGCUUCGCUCUUAUGCUGUGAGACCAACCUCGCAGUGUCCCUCCACCAGCAGACCUCGCUCUCUUUCUCGCGCAGCUGUCUCUCCGCACACUCCAACGCAGACUCCAGCUCUGCAAUCCUCUCCCGCUGCCUUGUUUCCAGGAGCUCAUGCAGCCUUCUCUCCAGCUCACGAGCAGAAACCCCACGGUAAUUGCCACCGUCUUCUUCAUGGACUUGCGUUACCUCUCCGUCGUCUUCGCCAAUGUGAGAAUUGCCAGUGCAGUUGAAGGAAGACUCCAACUCCGCAAUACCUUCUUGCUGCCUCGCCUGCACGAGUUGAUUAAGCUUUCUCGUCAGCUCAUGCGCAGAAACUCCACAUUGAAUGCCGCCGCUGCCGCUGCCUCCUUCGUACGCCUCCCUGAAGCUUCCAUGAAAGGUCUCAGGCGCAUCAGCGCUCUCAGCAGCCAACUGCAAUUAGUGUAGGCGAAGUGCAUGUACUUGUAAGGAAGCUGACGGUGCCCAAAUCUACAAAGCAAACAUGUCGCGUAUACCACACAUUUCGAUCCACAUUACCAUGCGAUGUGGCGGCAGCGAUGAAAGCUUGCGUCCCACGGCGCAUUGCAGACGUUGUAGUUCGACUUCCAUCUCCGCUUCCAUUUGGUGCAUGCUGAGGCGUGCUGUGUUCCUCGUGAAUGUAGCACAUGUCGACCGUGUCUCAGCUUCGGGUUCCAUAUAACUGUUUGAUGCAGAGGAGGCGACAUUGUUGGACUCUGCUCGGUGGGAAGAGACGCCUUUGUUGUGCAUCUCAUCCUUGAUGUCUUUGAGUAGAAUCUCCAUUUGGACUCUCAGUUGCUCCAUCUUGUUGAUUUCGGUGGCACUCCUCGUUAGGAGGAACACCAGACCUACUCCCAUUCCCAGAUUCAAAGAGACUGCAUCACUCUGCUUUCCUGCAAA